rnacentral:sRNA from 1 species
GCUUUCAACAUCCCCGUUCCGGGGUGCGGCUUUUCUUCUCAGAGGAGCUUCACGGCCGGCGCUGAAGGC